rnacentral:rRNA from 1 species
UACGAAGGGGGCUAGCGUUGUUCGAAAUUACUGGGCGUAAAGCGUGCGCAGGCGGUUAUGCAAGACAGAGGUGAAAUCCCCGGGCUCAACCUGGGAACUGCCUUUGUGACUGCAUAGCUAGAGUACGGCAGAGGGGGAUGGAAUUCCGCGUGUAGCAGUGAAAUGCGUAGAUAUGCGGAGGAACACCGAUGGCGAAGGCAAUCCCCUGGGCCUGUACUGACGCUCAUGCACGAAAGCGUGGGGAGCAAACAGG